AAGCCAUAGGAGUCUCUGCUGCCGUCAUUGUUCUCCUUGUGGUCACUGCUGUGAUGGCCCUUGUGGUGUGGAGGAGGAAGAGGGCAGGUGUGAAAGGAGGGAGCUACGCUCAGGCUGCAAGCAGUGACCACACCCGGGGCUCUGACUCAUCGCUCAUGACCUGAAAAGGAGGGAGCUGGCCGUGUGGGACGAGUGACAUGAUUUUUGACCUGGAGAACCCCAAUGCUCUGUCUGCAGAUGGCUUCUGACUGGGGCUCCGUUCCGUUCUGUCCAAUG